rfam:Oryza glumipatula chromosome 8, whole genome shotgun sequence.
AUUCAAUGUUUGACCGUUCAUAUUCAACGUUUGACUGUUCGUCUUAUUUAAAAAAAUGUUUAUGAUAAGUAUUUUUAUUUGUUAUUAGAUGAUAAAACAUGAAUAGUACUUUAUGCGUGACUAAGUUUUUUUAAUUUCUUCAUAAAUUUUUUAAAUAAGACGGACAAUCAAACGUUGGACACGAAUAUCCACGGCUGCACUUAUU